CACUGGUGUUCGGGUUGUCAUGCCAAUGGCACUGCCCGGUAGCUAAAUGCGGAAGAGAUAAGUGCUGAAAGCAUCUAAGCACGAAACUUGCCCCGAGAUGAGUUCUCCCUGAGACUUAGAGUCUCCUGAAGGAACGUUGAAGACGACGACGUUGAUAGGCCGGGUGUGUAAGCGCAGCGAUGCGUUGAGCUAACCGGUACUAAUGAACCGUGAGGCUUAACCUUACAACGCCGAAG
rnacentral:rRNA from 1 species